ensembl:lncRNA
AUCACAGUAAUCCAAGUCUAUGCCCUAACCAGUAACACUGAAGAAGCUGAAGUUGAACAGUUCUAUGAAGACCUACAAGACCUUUUAGAACUAACACCAAAAAAAGAUAUCCUUUUCAUUAUAGGGGACUAGAAUGCAAAAGUAGGAAGUCAAGAAACACCUGGAGUAACAGGCAUAUUUGGCCUUGGAAUAUGGAAUGAAGCAGGGCAAAAACUAAUAGAGUUUUGCCAAGAAAAUGCACUGGUCAUAGCAAACACCCUCUUCCAACAACACAAGAGAAGACUCUACACAUGGACAUCACCAGAUGGUCAACACCGAAAUCAGAUUGAUUAUAUUCUUUGCAGCCAAAGAUGGAGAAGCUCUAUACAGUCAGCAAAAACAAGACCGGGAGCUGACUGUGGCUCAGAUCAUGAACUCCUUAUUGCCAAAUUCAGACUGAAAUUGAAGAAAGUAGGGAAAACCACUAGACCAUUCAGGUAUGACCUAAAUCAAAUCCCUUAUGAUUAUACAGUGAAAGUGAGAAAUAGAUUUAAGGGCCUAGAUCUGAUAGAUAGAGUGCCUGAUGAACUAUGGACUGAGGUUCAUGACAUUGUACAGGAGACAGGGAUCAAGACCAUUCCCAUAGAAAAUAAAUGCAAAAAAGCAAAAUAGCUGUCUGGGGAGGCCUUACAAAUAGCUGUGAAAAGAAGAGAAGCGAAAAGCAAAGGAGAAAAGAAAGAUAUAAGCAUCUGAAUGCAAAGUUCCAAAGAAUAGCAAGAAAAGAUAAGAAAGCCUUCUUCAGCGAUCAAUGCAAAGAAAUAGAGGAAAACAACAGAAUGGAAAAGACUAGGGAUCUCUUCAAGAAAAUCAGAGAUACCAAAGGAACACUUCAUGCAAAGAUGGGCUUGAUAAAGGACAGAAAUGGUAUGGACCUAACACAAGCAGAAGAUAUUAAGAAGAGGUGGCAAGAAUACAGGAAGAACUGUACAAAAAAGCUCUUCACAACCCAGAUAAUCACGAUGGUGUGAUCACUGACCUAGAGCCAGACAUCCUGGAAUGUGAAGUCAAGUGGGCCUUAGAAAGCAUCACUACAAACAAAGCUAGUGGAGGUGAUAGAAUUCCAGUUGAGCUAUUUCAAAUCCUGAAAGAUGAUGCUGUAUUGGAUUAGGGGCCACCAAAUGAUCUGAUUUUCACUUGAUUAACUCCGUAAAGAUCCUAUUUCCAAAUAAAGUCACAUUCUGAGAUAUUGAGGUUUGGACUUCAACACAUCUUUUUUAGGGGGCCAGGGAGUGGGCACAAAGUAACUCACAGCAGGUUGGAUCAAUAGUGUUCCAGGCAGAAGACCACGUGUUCGAGUCCCUGAACUAGAAUGGUGGCUGGGGAUUUGGAGAAUCAAGACUGAUGGUCUGAAUAGAGCAGGCAG